rnacentral:rRNA from 1 species
CCUACGGGUGGCAGCAGUGGGGGAUAUUGCACAAUGGGGGAAACCCCGAUGCAGCGACGCCGCGUGUGGGAAGACGGUCCUCUGGAUUGUAAACCACUGUCCCCAGGGACGAAGAUGACGGUACCUGGGGAGGAAGCUCCGGCUAACUACGUGCCAGCAGCCGCGGUAAUACGUAGGGAGCGAGCGUUGUCCGGAAUUACUGGGUGUAAAGGGAGCGUAGGCGGGACUGCAAGUUGGGUGUCAAAUCUACCGGCUCAACCGGUAGCCGCACUCAAAACUGCAGUUCUUGAGUGAAGUAGAGGCAGGCGGAAUUCCUGGUGUAGCGGUGAAAUGCGUAGAUAUCAGGAGGAACACCGGUGGCGAAGGCGGCCUGCUGGACUGCAACUGACGUUGAGGCCCGAAAGCGUGGGGAGCAAACAGGAUUAGAUACCCGGGUAGUC